AGCUCCAAUAGCGUAUCUUAAAGUUGUUGUGGUUAAAAAGCUCGUAGUUGGAUUUCGGCGGGCAGAGGUUGGUUUGAAUCGCUUCAACACUGACUUUUUUGCCCGUGUGUUUUGCCAGAGUUUGACAGGUGAUCUUAAUCGAUUGUCCGUUGAGGCUGGCAGGUUUACUUUGAAAAAAUUAGAGUGCUCAAAGCAAGCUUGAUUGCUUGAAUAUUCGUGCAUGGAAUAAUAGAAUAGGAAGUCGUUUCUAUUUUGUUGGUUUUCGGAGAUGGACUUAAUGAUUAAUAGGGAUAGUCGGGGGCAUUUGUAUUCAAACGACAGAGGUGAAAUUCUUGGACCGUUUGAAGACAAACUACUGCGAAAGCAUUUGCCAAGAAUGUUUUCA
rnacentral:rRNA from 1 species